AGCGGCGGACGGGUGAGUAAUGCUUGGGAAUCUGCCCAGUAGUGUGGGACAACCCGGGGAAACGCGGGCUAAUACCGCAUACGCUACGGGAAAGCGGCGCUAUUGGAUGAGCCCAAGUCGGAUUAGCUAGUUGGUGGGGUAAAGGCCUACCAAGGCGACGAUCCGUAGCUGGUCUGAGAGGACGACCAGGGCACCGGAACUGAGACACGGUCCGGACUCCUACGGGAGGCAGCAGUGGGGAAUAUUGGACAAUGGGGGCAACCCUGAUCCAGCGACGCCGCGUGGGUGAAGAAGGCCUGCGGGUUGUAAAGCCCUUUCGGUGGGGAAGAAUGACGUUACCCACAGAAGAAGCACCGGCUAACUCUGUGCCAGCAGCCGCGGUAAUACAGAGGGUGCGAGCGUUAAUCGGAAUUACUGGGCGUAAAGCGCACGUAGACGGCUUUGUAAGUCGGAUGUGAAAUCCCCGGGCUUAACCUGGGAACUGCAUUCGAAAC
rnacentral:rRNA from 1 species